AGGACCAUUGCUGGCGUCCUGCCUAAGACAUGCACUUCAAACGGUGCUCCCGCUUCGGUGGUCGCAUAAAUGGCCCACGGGUGAAUAGCCCGUGGUAACCUGCCCGGAGGUACGGGGCAUCUCCUGGAGACUGCUCCUAAUACCUUAUGUGUCCUGCGGGACAUACAUUGCAUCGCCCUGGCAUGGGCCCCCGUGUGACUACCUGGUUGGGGGGGUUUCGGCCCACCAAGGCUACUAUCCUUAUCUGGUCUGAGAGGAUGAUCAGCCCCACUGGGACUGAGACACGGCCCUGACUCCUACAGUAUGCAGCAGUGGGGAAUAUUGCACAAUGGGCGCCAUCCUGAUCCAUCAUUGCCACGUGAGUGAUGAACGCCUUCAGGUUGUAAACCUCUUUCACACGCUACGAUGAUGAUUCUUCUGUGAGAACAAUCACCUUCCAACUACGUGCCAUCAGCCGCGGUAAUACCUAGGGUGCGAGCGUUGUCCGGAAUUAUUGGCCGUAAAGGGCUCGUACGCGGUUUGUCACGUCCCGAGUGAAAACUCCCGGCUUAACCCUGAGCCUGGUUCCAAUACCGGCGUACUAGAUGUACGUCUGGGACAACGGACUUCCUGGUGUAGUGGUGAGAUGUUCACAUAUCAAGAAGAACACCGGUGGCGAACGCAGCUCUCUGCGAUUUAUCUGACGCUGAAGAGCGUUAGUGUGGGGAGCGAACAGGAUUAGAGUCCCUGGUAGUCCACACCGGAAACGUUGGGCGCUAGGUGUGGGGGUCCUUCCACGACCUCUGUGCCGCAGCUAACGCAUUAAUCGCCUCGCCUGGGCAGCACGGCUGCGAGGCUAAACUCAUAAGAAUUG
rnacentral:rRNA from 1 species